rnacentral:rRNA from 1 species
UAACGUCAGAUGAACGCUGGCGGCAGGCUUAACACAUGCAAGUCGAGCGGGGGAAGGUAGCUUGCUACCGGACCUAGCGGCGGACGGGUGAGUAAUGCUUAGGAAUCUGCCUAUUAGUGGGGGACAACAUCUCGAAAGGGAUGCUAAUACCGCAUACGUCCUACGGGAGAAAGCAGGGGAUCUUCGGACCUUGCGCUAAUAGAUGAGCCUAAGUCGGAUUAGCUAGUUGGUGGGGUAAAGGCCUACCAAGGCGACGAUCUGUAGCGGGUCUGAGAGGAUGAUCCGCCACACUGGGACUGAGACACGGCCCAGACUCCUACGGGAGGCAGCAGUGGGGAAUAUUGGACAAUGGGGGGAACCCUGAUCCAGCCAUGCCGCGUGUGUGAAGAAGGCCUUAUGGUUGUAAAGCACUUUAAGCGAGGAGGAGGCUACUUUAGUUAAUACCUAGAGAUAGUGGACGUUACUCGCAGAAUAAGCACCGGCUAACUCUGUGCCAGCAGCCGCGGUAAUACAGAGGGUGCGAGCGUUAAUCGGAUUUACUGGGCGUAAAGCGUGCGUAGGCGGCUUAUUAAGUCGGAUGUGAAAUCCCCGAGCUUAACUUGGGAAUUGCAUUCGAUACUGGUGAGCUAGAGUAUGGGAGAGGAUGGUAGAAUUCCAGGUGUAGCGGUGAAAUGCGUAGAGAUCUGGAGGAAUACCGAUGGCGAAGGCAGCCAUCUGGCCUAAUACUGACGCUGAGGUACGAAAGACCGC